rnacentral:rRNA from 1 species
GAUGAACGCUGGCGGCGUGCUUAACACAUGCAAGUCGAACGGAAAGGCCCAAGCUUGCUUGGGUACUCGAGUGGCGAACGGGUGAGUAACACGUGGGUGAUCUGCCCUGCACUUCGGGAUAAGCUUGGGAAACUGGGUCUCAUACCGGAUAGGACCACUUCUUGGAUGUUGUGGUGGAAAGUUUUUUCGGUGUGGGAUGAGCACGCGGCCUAUCAGCUUGUUGGUGGGGUAAUGGCCUACCAAGGCGCCGACGGGUAGCCGGCCUGGGAGGGUGUACGGCACCAGUGGGACUGGGAUACGGCCCAGACUCCGACUGGAGGCAGCAGUGGGGGAGAUGGCACAAUGGGCACGAGCCAGAGGCAGCGACGGCGCUGGGGGGAUGACGGUCUUCGGGUUGGAAACUCCAUUCGCUAGGGACGGAGCGGUUAGUGACGGUACCUGGAGAAGAAGCACCGGCUAACUACGUG